UUGAAUGGAAAUGCGAUUUAGGAGCGACCAUAUGGUCGUGUGUUGCCUCCUCUGUAAAUCUCAGGCAAGGUUGGUUGCAGGAUAGUUUUCUCCCGUUACCAGGCAGCAAGCAGUGAGAUUACGGUAAUAAUGUUAGUUAGCACAACUUUAAAAUUAACUCACAGAAAACCGAAGAAAACUCGCAAACACACUCCUGGUUUUGCCAGAGCAAAUUCUAGCUCGUAUCGAAUACCGAUGUGUGACACGUAGCGGAUUGUUAUGGUUGCGUAGUCGUUAAUGUUUUGUGUGUAGCGUAACAACUACUACUACAGCAAUUAUGAUAUCGAGUUCACACAUCAUGCUUUGUUUUUGUUCCCAUUUCUCCUCAGAGUCUCUACCAGUCAAGUCAAGUCAGCUCCAUAGGCUAUUAUAACCGGUUUAUGUUACAAUCCUAUUGUUGUCUGUUUCCAGUCGCGCUGCUUCGUCAGACAUUGUUACAAUGUUCCUACAUAAUGACAGACCCCCUCAAUCUGUGCUUUGAGAAGGGAUUGUUUGGAAGCCAUAUACUUGAAGUGCAUUGGCCAAAGAAAACUGUAGUCCUGUAAUCUGUUGUAGACUACCGCCAUGGCCUCCGCCAGGUAAGGCACUUCGAUGAUAUUAUUGGGUGUAGUUAUAGUGACUUACCGAUUAGUUUUCAUUUCAGGAAACUUACUUGAGACACUUUCUCCGUUAUAUAUUUUGUAGCUUGCAGAUUUGUAAAAGUCGUAUCAUGCAUAUUGUGACCUGUUCUUUGACUCCUUUUUUCUGCACAAUUUCAGUGACAUCCGAGACAAACUGCGGAGAAAACGCCGUGCUUUUCAGGAGUCUCUUGUCAGAGUCCGCGAUGAUACUCAGGAGCUCGCAGGCGGCGAAGACGAGGGGCCGGCAGAGACUCUGAGGCGCUCGCUUAAAGCACAGAGGCAAAGGAGGAAGAAGAAGGUAAACACUCGUUCAUGUUUCUCUGUUGCCUCAGGAUUCUCUUGUUAAUUUCGCUGUAACUACUUGUCUGAAUCACUCAUGAAUACCAAUAUUUUAGGUGAUUAACUGGUUGUUUUAGUAGUUGUUUUACCCAAGCUGUGCAAUACUUUAACAUAACUUUUGUUUUGUUCGAUGUUCUACAUAAAUAAUCCAGCCUUGACUAAACUGUGCGGAUGAAGUUUAUUCAUACAGUAUAUACACUUAUUGGAUAAGCAUUCAGUGCAUCAUCUUAGUCAUCUCCAUCCCU
rnacentral:lncRNA from 1 species